rnacentral:lncRNA from 1 species
GCUGCAACACAUUUCACACUUGUAUUUGCUUUGGUGAUUAUAUCGUUUUUUGCUAUGGCGCAACACAUUGUCGUUGAUGUAGGAGCAUAGGGUGGGAUGUUGAUGAUUAAUAAAAUAGUUUAUUUGUGGCAUAGAUUUGCUACGAUAUGUGAGUUUGCACUAGCCCUAAAUUUCAGUGCUCGUGUAUGUGGUUGGUGACCUAUGUCCUGACCUCGAU